CGAACUUAGCGGCGGACGGGUGAGUAACGCGUGGACAAUCUACCCUGUAGACUGGGAUAACACCUCGAAAGGGGUGCUAAUACCGGAUAAUGUCGAGAAGCGGCAUCGCUUUUCGAAGAAAGGAGAGAAUCCGCUAUAGGAGGAGUCCGCGUCCCAUUAGCUAGUUGGUGAGGGUAACGGCCCACCAAGGCGACGAUGGGUAGCCGGCCUGAGAGGGUGAACGGCCACACUGGAACUGAGACACGGUCCAGACUCCUACGGGAGGCAGCAGUGGGGAAUAUUGUGCAAUGGGGGAAACCCUGACACAGCAACGCCGCGUGAGCGAAGAAGGCCUUCGGGUUGUAAAGCUCAAUAGUAUGGGAAGAUAAUGACGGUACCAUACGAAAGCCCCGGCUAACUACGUGCCAGCAGCCGCGGUAAUACGUAGGGGGCGAGCGUUGUCCGGAAUUACUGGGCGUAAAGAGCACGUAGGCGGCUAUAUAAGUCAGGUGUGAAAAACCUGGGCUUAACCGAGGGUAUGCAUCUGAAACUAUAUAGCUUGAGUCAAGGAGAGGAGAGCGGAAUUCCUGGUGUAGCGGUGAAAUGCGUAGAGAUCAGGAA
rnacentral:rRNA from 1 species